GCCUGGGUGGCUCAGUCGGUUAAGUGUCUGACUUCGGCUCAGGUCGUGAUCUCAUGGUUCGUGGGUUCGAGCCCUGCGUCGGGCU
rnacentral:tRNA from 1 species